CUUCAUUAGGAUAGUUGAGCUCCUGAGACAGCUCUUCUGUUGAGGCUGCCUCUUCCCAGGGUCUCAUGUAACCCUAUGGAGCUGAAGAUGACCUUGAACUUCUGGGCCUCCUGCCUAUACCUAGAAUUACUAGUGUAUGCUACAAUGCUUUUAUGUGGUACUGGAGGCUGAACUAGACAAGCACUCUAUCAACUGAGCUACAGCCCCAGCCUGGAGGACAAUAUCUUAUAAGCCGUUUCUUGAUCAGGACACCAUCUCUUUGCCACUGCUGAGGAAGACGUGAGCAGCAGCCCGAUCAGGAGACCGUGUCAUCUUAAGCACUACAGCGCAGGCAUAGCCACUGAGCUAAGGCCUCUCACGUGCUUAGCUGCUUCAGCACACGGCAUGGACCAGGUGCAGAGCUUCCACAGUUGCCGGGUCUGCUGACAGCCUGGCUGUGCUAAGAGGAAGGAGCAUGAUGCUGGACCUGAGGGACACUGGUAAAUCGU
rnacentral:lncRNA from 1 species